rnacentral:lncRNA from 1 species
AACUUUCUGAAUCUAGCACCGAUUGAAUGUAAUACCUGACCUUGUAGACUUUCUUCUUCGCCUCCUUGUUUGUGACUCUAUGAGCAUCAAUUGCAUUCUCAGCAAGCUCAGGGACACCAUUAGUAACCACUUUUAGGGUUCCAUGAAAGUCGAACAAGGAUUUCAUCUGCUUGAUCCAUUGGUUCCAAUUUUUUAUGUGAAGAAUUAGAAGAGAAUUCAGAAUUCCAUUAGUACCAU